rnacentral:lncRNA from 1 species
GGCUGGGCUUGAACUCCUGGGCUCAAACGAUCCUCCCACCUUGGCCUCCCAAAGUGUUGGGAUUACAGGCGUGAGCCCACACUCCACUAGAAUAUCAUUUUUAAUGCCUAAAUAGUGUUCUAUCUUAUUGAUAUAUCAUUAUUUACUUAACCAGUCAGAGUAAUAGCUAAUGUUGUUUGAGGCCUUACUCUGCGCUUGCAACAUUGCUUCGUUUGUUCUAUUUGCAUUCUGACUUACACCUGCCCACAGCCCUGUGUAGUGUAGGUAUUAUUCUUUCUAUUUAACAGAUGAGGGAACUCGGAUAAAGAACAGGUGGGUAAUUUGCCUAAGGUUAGAUGGUUAGUAAAUAGAAAACUCAAAAUUUAAAUUUGUUUGAUUUUUAGAAGCCAUGCUCUUAACUACUCAUUAUGUUUUUAC